rnacentral:lncRNA from 1 species
CCCAAGUCAGCUCAAGCCUAUUGGGCCUAAGCCCAUUCAGGCAACAGUGGUACUGGGCCAGAGCCCUUUUCAGAUUACAAUAAACUGGGCCUUAGCCCCUUAUUCAGAUAACAGUAUGGCCCAUAGGCCCAUUUCAAAAUACAUGCAACAUCAGUAAACAUAUGCAAGCCCAUUUGGGGAGACUACUCAACCCACCAACCACUACACUCCACCCGUACCAGCCAUACACUCCAUGUGGGGAAUAGUUCAACCCACCCAGCCCAACACUCCACAGUUGCAGCCUUGCUGCUCAGUUAACAGUAAAUUGAGGCAAAGCCUCCAGUACGUGGACAAGCCACUUUCAGUACUUCCUCCGUCAAUAUCCCAGUCCCAUGCAUCAGAUAAUAACAACAUGGCAUGCAGUAAAUAACAACAGUCAAACAUGCAUUUAGGUCAAUUUAACCCUAGGGGUAUUUCGGUAAUUUAUCUCAUAGGGGUAAAACUGUAAAUUUUCCACUUUUAAAGGUAUUUCAGUAAUUUAUCUAUUUUAGGGUUUUUCAUGCAUAUUCCUACUUUUCACGUACUAACAGAAUAACGUUCCGAGGGUUUUUACCGAAUUGGGCACGUUGGCCCAUCAUUCCAAUUUUGGCCUAUUAAGCCCAAAAAUAUCGAGGGCACAGAAAUCAUGCAUUUUGUAGUCCAAACAUUGCAGCUUACCAAAAACAUUAAUCGAUUUACCUCACGAGCAUUCGCACAUUCGAAAAUCUACAAAAUACUGGUUUUCGGCAUUUCAGCUUUUCGACUUUUGCCGAUCUAGACUAAGAAAGAGGGUGUUAGUUACACACCUGUUUGCGACGAUAUGCUGACGAGAUCCACACACGAAUCGCCUACAAUUGGAUUACUAACACGUUAAUCUAACUAUUCAAAUACAAAUUACGUAUUAACCCCUUACAAUAUUCGGCCAACCACACCCACAGAUCAUAGUAAGCUUAUAAGAAAACAAUAAGCAACUCAUUAACAAAUUUUUGUCAAUGUUUACCAAAAAAUCAUAAUUUCACUGCAAGCUGUCUUCUUGAGCAACAGUCACUAAAUCAUUUAUAACUGGAGCUACGAAACUCCAAAUCAAGUUCUGUUAAUUUUCCUUGAAAAUAGACUCAUAUAUCUUCUAUCCAUAAAAUUUUCAGAAUUUUUGGUUUAGCCAAUCAAUACCAGAUUUUUCUCAAAGUUUCCCAUGUUUCACUGUUUGACUAAUCUGACCACUCUUUAUUAUGAAUCAAAUUUAUCAUUGUACAGAAUUCAAAAUAUGUUCUUGUUUAUUUCAUUAGAAACUAGACUCAAUAAUAUUUAAUUACAUAAUUUAUUCAGCUUCUAAUUCAUCUCCCACAAUUUAUGGUGAUUUUCCAAAGUCACGUUACUGCUGCUGUCCCAAGCAGAUUUAUUACCAAAUCACUCUUUCACAUAUACCUUGCAUGCAUGUUAUUUAAACAUGUAUAGCACCAAUCAAUCAUCACAUAUCUAUGAUUUUACUUAAGUAUAAUCUCCAUUUCAUCAUUUUAAAGCACAACAUGUUAGCCGAUUUUUCCCUUUAGCAUCUAAGGCACAUGCAUGCUCAUUUGUUUGGCUCAACUUCACCUAUCUUCCAUUUUUCAUCAAAAGAACAUGAAACAACAACCAUUUCCUUCAUUUUAAUUCAUGACUAAAUGCUCACAACACAACUAAAAACUAAAAUAUGCUUCAAGAGUUAAGGUAGAAUCAAGAAGAACUCAUGAACCUCAAAAUAGAAGCAAGGUACCAAGAACUUACCUUCAAUUUUCCUCCUCCUAAUGACCGAAUACUUAAGAGCUUUCUCCUCUCCUUUCUCUUCUCUAACUUUUAGCUAUGAUGAACAAAGAUGGACAAAACUUUGUUCUUUUCACCCCUUUUUCUUUUAAUAAAACUUCAUAUUUCAUCCAUUUAAUUCUUUAAUACAAAAGACAUGAAAUUCUUAUCAUGAAACAUUUACCUAACCUAUUAUCAUGAAACAUUUACCUAACCUAUUAUCAAUUUGUAUCAUUUUGUACCAUAAAUUAUGGAUAUCAAGUGCACAUUUUGUCUACAACAACAUGAUGGCUGGCCACUUCAUGUAAAAUGGGAGGUUUGUCAUGCAAAUCCUCCUAUUUUGCACUCCUAUUUAUUUGGCCACUUCAAUUUAGCCUAUAGCAUUUUCAAACAUUUUCACAUAGGUCCUAUUUCAUAAUUUCACUCCCUUUUUCUUAUGGAACAAAAAUUAACUAAAAUUACCGGGUUCUAUCUUAAGCUUGGGCCUUCUAGAGGCCCACUAACAUAAUUAAACCUAUGCCAACAUUCACAGGAUUCCCGAAAAUUGAGGCGUUACAAUGAAAAUAGAUCCUACCUUACGAAAAGUCAGUGGACAGUAAGCCUAAGACAAGGAAAGAAGUGAAGAUCAAAGCCUAGCUCACCACAAAGACAAAGCGAGACUUCAUUCCCAAUUCAAAGAUGUUUUCGCAUGAUUGAAUUAAGAUAUACCUGGGCUACUAAGACGUGAGGAUGCUGCAAGGUGUUUGAACAGCAUAUGCUAAUGGUUUUACAAUGGUCAGGCUAAUCAUGAGGUUCGGGUACUGCUGGUCCUCCAUGGAAGAGGAUUGCAUCAGUUAUACCAUAAAUGUUGGAUUGAGGAAGACAAGACUUAUGUGCCUCCUCUAUUUCUUCACAGUUUUUUUUACAUAUAUGUGGGGCAUGGAUUUUAAGGGAUUGAUCUCAUCAAAAGUUUCAGGCCAACACUGAUUCAUCAUUGUGGUCGUCGGUUACUUCACUAAGAAGGUGAAGGUAGCUUCAUAUGCCAAUAUUACAAGGUCGAUAGUUAUCAAAUUCAAAUUCAAAAAAACACACAUAAAAAAAGAAAAAAUAAAAAAAAUAAAAAAAGAGUAAAAAAUAACAAAAAUGAUAGUGGAAGAUAACCGAGACUUGUAAAGAUUGGCAUAAAGAAGUUACUAUUUACCCUCUAUCCUUAUCAAACGUCUGCCAGGACCUUAGCUGGGGCAACACAUUGCUCAUUGGUUUAUGGGAUAGAAUCAGUUUUGAAGAUGAGAUUCAUUUUCUCCGAGUCUUGUCAAAGCUGAAGUUAAAUAAAGCCUAAUUGAUCCAAUUCUGAUAUGAUCAGUCGAAUUUGAAGAAAGGAGGUUGAAAGCUAUCUGUCGUGGUCCAAUACACCAAAAACGAAUGAUGCGAGCGUACGACAGAAAGGUUCGUCCUAGAGAAUUCCAUGAGGGAGACCUAGUAUUGGAAAAGAUAUUUCCUAUACAAAAGGAACUUCAAAUGAAAGUAUACGCUAAACUGGAAAGGACCUUAUGUGGUAAAGAAGGCUUCUAGAAGAGCAUCGAUGCUGACUAAGGUAAUGGCAAUAACCUACCUAAUCUGGUGAAUUCGGAUUCAAUCAAAAAAUACUUCACCAAAAAAAACAAAAAAACAAAAAAGAAAAAAAGGAGAAAAGAAAAAAGGAAAAAGAAAGAAGAAGAAAAUGAGAGGCCAAUGUGAAAACCCGCAAAGGGCGCCUUGAGACCAAAGGGGAUUUGAGUUGAAAACCCAAAAAUGGCUGCUCAAAUUUGGAUCAAAGUGGGGCAUUCAGUAGUCUUGCUAUGCUUGAAUUAACAAUGAAUGAGUAUGCUACGUCUUGGGGCAUUAACAAAGUACUCCGGAUCCCCUAAACACAGAUUGAGCUCAAAAUAGUCUUCAAGAAGUGGGUGCAGAGAAGCUCAAGUUGCGAUAUCUGGGGCACCUAGUUUUCUAUUUUACCCAUUUUGAAUUUGCUAUCUUUGAUUACCCUAUACUUUUCAAGAUACGUCUCAAUAAAUUUCCUUAUUAUUACGUUUGCUAUCUUUUGAUUAACAUAUUUGUUUCGAGCUAUGCUCCCAAUUAUUUUCUCUCUUAUCCAUUGUUAUGAACUUUUUCAAGCAUUUUGCAUUGAAAUAAUGAUUAAUGGACUAAUAAUACCUUCACAAAAGGGGUUCUGCGUAUUACUCUAGAAGUUUCUAAAUGGUACAGGAACCUGAAACAGAAUUGUUGUUUAGAACUCACCAAGCCUAAGGGUUGGAAAUAUUGGAGAAAGAUGAUUAUCUCUUUGGACUUUUUAUUGGUUAAACAAAAAGACAAGAUGUUUCGUCGACGAUACAACCUCGACAAAUAAUGAGCAAUGUCAACCCAAGUGUAAAAGGGGAUCAUUCUCAGGAAAAGAAAAAUGAUACUCUACAUUCAUACAGAUAUUAGACAUAUAUAUCUAGUCAUUACACCCAGGGAAUGGUGUAACAAAUCAAUUGAUUGAAGAUGAUACAAAUCCUAUACCUCUGAGUUAUAGCAGGAUAGAUGAAGAAACCAAAUGUUACUCCCCUGAAGUUGUAGUGGGAGGUACAAACUCUAUGUCCCAGAAGAUACAACGGAAAAGACUCUGAAAUUUUAGUGGGGCAAACCUAUUGAGCAAGAUAUAAUUAUUUCUUCGGGUUCUGUCAAAAAUGCUAGCCAAACAAGAGGGAAGCAUAAUACGUCAGUGAUAAAGCCUUAAUAAACUAUGAGUGAUGAUGCCUUAAGCACUCAACAAGGAAUCAUUCUCAUGACAUUUCUGCAUUCACAAGCAUCACAUCUAGUUAGGAGCAUUUGAUUCAUUUCGAUCAUAGCAUCCUAGUUAUUUGACAUAAGCAUAGAUACAUGAAACCGAUUCUACAGAUCAUGUCCCUAGAGGAUGGUGUAGCAACAUCGGUAAAUUCAUAGAUCUUGUCUCCCUGAAGCAGUAGUGGAGCAGAUCGAAGACGGUGAGCCUUAACCCUCUAAGCAGUAGGGUAACACGACGAAUUACAGAUCUUGUCUCCCUAAGCAGUAGUAGAGCAGAUCGAAGGCGGUGAGCCUUAACCCCCUAAGGAGUAGGGUAAUAGGCUAAAUUACAGAUCUUGUCUCCCUAAGCAGUAGUGGAGUAGAUCGAAGACAGUGAGCUUUAACCCCCUAAGCAGUAGGGUAACAGGCUAAAAAUUAUAGAUCUUGUCUCCCUAAGCAAUAACGGAGCAAAUCAAAGAUGAUGAGCCUUAACCCCUAAGCAGUAGGGUAACAGGCUGAAAAUUACAGAUCUUGUCUCCCUAAGUAGUAGUGGAGCAGAUCGAAGACGAAAGGCCUUAACCCCCUAAGCAGUAGGGCAACAGGCUGAAAAUUAUAGAUCUUGUCUCCCUAAGCAGUAGUGGAGCAGAUCGAAGAAGAAGGGCCUUAACCCCCUAAGCAGUAGGGCAACAGGCUGAAAAUUAUAGAUCUUGUCUCCCUAAGAAGUAGUGGAGCAGAUCGAAGAUGAAGGGCCUUAACCCCCUAAACAGUAGGGUAACAGGCUGAAAAUUAUAGAUCUUGUCUCCCUAACUAGUAGUGGAGCAGAUCGAAGACGAUGAGCCUUAACGCCCUAAGCAAUAGGGUAACAGGCUGAAGAUUGCAGAUCUUAUAACCCUAAGCAGUAGGGGAACAGAUCGAAUACGAUGAGCCUUAACCCCCUAAGAAGUAGGUAACAGGCUGGAAAUUCACAGAUUUUAUCUCCCUGAAGUUACAGCGGAGCAGAUUGAAGAUAGCGAAUCUUAUUCCCCUGAAGUUGAAGUGAAACAGAUUGAAGCUAUGAAUAAACAGAUUUUAUCUCUCUGAAGUUGCAGUAGAGCAGAUCAAAACAAACUUUAUCACCCCAAAGUUGUAGUGGAGCGGAUUAAAGCAAUAAGAUGCAGUGGACUGAACGAGGCUACCUAAAGAAGAAAAGCACCAGAGAAGUCGAGACUCGACAAGACCGGGCAAAAUUGGCCCUUUUUUAUGUUAUUGCUCUAUUCUCAUUACACGACAACGAGCAAAGAGGGGCAGCUGUAGAAGGCCCAAAUUGCCCGGGCCCAUUUUACAUCCUCAAAACCUAACCAAUUAAACCCAUUUACAACUAAACACAAACCUAAAUCAACAACCCUAGCGCAACCCAAAAACAAAACAAAACAAAAAAAACCCUAAAUUAACCUAGCUAGCCGCAGCCCUAGGUCUUCGGCACAACUGCCCUCUGACCCACCUGCCCCACCACCAUUGUCGCAUCAGCACCGCCACUGUGUAGUCGCCCACUUGCACCUGCAAAACUAGAGAAGAAAUGACAGCAAGAAUUAAAGGUAGAAAUGAAAAUCAAAUAGAAAAAUACUUUGUAAAUGGCUAUAUAAGCCUUGCAAUAUUUUGUAUUUUGUCUCUCUGGACACUUUUGAAUACAAAAAAAAACAGAUUCAAAUACAUCAAAUACCAAAAGAAACAGCAAGCAGUGGAAAAAAAACGUGCUAAGGUCUUUAUUUUCUUUUUUUAGUUUAUUUCUUUUUAUUUUCGUCCUUUGAAUAUAUAAAAGUACAUAUUUUCUUUAUUUUUUUAAAAAAUAGCAUAUAUAUAGAUAUAUAUAAAAAUAUAAAAUAAAAAUAAAACAUACUUUUUAUUUUUCAGCCACCGUGUGCGGUGGCCAGCGACGGCGGCUGGCGCAGCGACGACUAGUCGAAACCCUCGCCAGAGUAGGGGCCUCUGUAGAGAAAAAAAGGAGAAAGAAGAAUUUAAAAAAAACAGAGAAAGAAUGAAGUUUUUUUAAAAAAAUCUGAUUUAUAUAGGCCACCAAAACGACGUCGUUUUGGGACUGGCCUUAAACGCCCAAAACGAGGUCAUUUUGAUAUGACCCGCGCGCCGACGUUUUUUAUAAAAGGGCUAUUUGUGCAUUUGGUCCUUCUGCUUUUUUAUAGUUUUAUAAUUAAAUCUUUCGUUAUUUUUAAUUUUGCCCAGAAAUUUUGUUUUUAUUUCAUUUUGGUCCUGCGCAAAACGCUGCACUUAGAGGGACAGGGAUAUUUACUUUUUAAGUCCCUUCAUGUUGUGCGCGUGUUGCAAUUUGAUCCUCCCCCUUUCUUUUUAUUUUGGAUUUGCCCUAAACUUCCUGUUUUGAAUUCAAUUUAAUCUUUUUUUUAAUUAUUUGGUUACUUUACUAAAAAAUUAGUUAUUUUUAUUAUUUUUACUAUUAUUAUUAUAAAUAUAUUAUUGUUGUUAUUGUUAUUAUUGUUAUUAUUUACAUGUUAUUAUUUAUUUUUCUUUUAUUAUGGUAUUAUUAUUGCCAUUAUUAUUAUUUUUAUUAUUUUUAUUAUCAUCUUAUUUUAUUGUCAUUUUUGUACUAUUGUUAUUAUUUUUUUAUUUUUUUACUAUGAUUAUUAUUAGUAUUAUUAUUAUCUAUUAUCAAUAUUAUUAUUACUAUUUUUUUACUAUUAUUAUUUCACAUACUAUUAUUACUAUUUUAUUAUUAUUAUUAUCACUUCUUCUUUUGUUUCAUUCAAUAUUUUUUUUCUCCUUUAUUGUUUUUGCCUAUUUCAUUUCUUAUUUUUAUUUAUUUUAUUUAUUUAUUUAUUUAAACUUUUUAAUAGUUUUAUUUAUUUAUUUAUUAACUUAUGGUUUUUAGUUAGCCUUUUUUUUAUUUUUUUAUUUAUGUAUCUUAUUUUUUAUUCUUGCCCAUAUUACUGUUAUUUGUACUAUCGCAUCUGUUAUUUUUACGUAUCAAAGUCGCGUAUUCUUUCAUGGACUAUCAGCCUUCUCUUGUUGUUUACUCGGAUCCUAUUCGAACAACUGUAUUAUAAUCCAUUUUAUCAAGAAAUCCUUUUUCCAUGACAAGCUAUUCUAUUUAGCAAUCAAAUGUGAAUCAACUCCUCCUUUCUAUGAUGAAAAUGCAAUGCAAUCAAAACAAGAGAAAGCAUGUUAGCACAGGAGAAAUAAACAAAAUAGAGUACCAAUCCGGGUGACCACUAGGGGUUCGGAGUGGCUCUACCUAGGGUGGGCUCUUAAGGCUUGCUAUAUGGGGCUCGGUUCUAAAGUAAAGGUACCUGAACCAGCAGAUUCCUCGAUCUUCACCUAUUAUAGGCUCAUAUAGACCGAGUUCAGUUCAGGGGAAUACAUUUCCCUAUGGCUGCACGAAAAUGAAAGUCUCAUGAAGACAUAGGUACAGGUGUCCCGAAAGCGAACCACUAUCCUGCACGGAGGUGAAGACCUCACGAAGGAAUAGUUUCUCACUCCCACUUAAAAGGGUUUAACCGUACGGUCAUGCAAUACAAUAUGCAGGAAUAUACAAAAAAUCUCGAAGCAAAUGAAGAAAACAUGAAUAAAAUGAUGAAGAUCGUAACACAAAAUAGAUGAAAUGCAAUGAAAGGAUCGUAUAUCAAAACCAAAUUUUAAUUUUCGACAAAAAGACAAAAGUUAAUCAACUUGCGGCUUGACUCUCUUUUUUAGUCCCCGGUGGAAUCGCCAAGCUGUCGAAACCAUUUUUUUGAAAAACGGGGUCAACUUUGGUUUUGAAAAUGAAAACAAACAAUGGGAGUCACCACCAAUCCUUUUUGAUGAGGUGUGAUCGGGUCACCUUAAAUUAAUCAUUUUAAUAAAAGUUAAUAUUUACUAAAACAAUAAUUUUUUGGUCUACGAGAAUCAGAAAAUGAGUUCGGGAGUCAAUUAUGUACGAGGAAGGAUUAGCACCUUCGUGACGCCCAAAAAUUGGUACCUAGUUGAUUAAUUAGUGUCUUAGUGUCGAAACGUUGAAAACUUGAAAGACUUUAAAAUACGAUCCCUCUUUUUGUAGAAACACUUGAAUGUUAAAGACCUUCUCGUCUUGAAAUAAUAAAAUGUCACAUCCAGUAAGUUAGGGCACAACAUCUUGAAUUUUCGAGAAUGAGCAUGCCUUUUAUUUAAAAUUUGUAUAUUUUAACCUAUUAAAAAGUAAUUCAAUUAUUUAGAGUAAACGAGAAAAAUCGAAACCCAGUAAGUUAGGGCACGAUAUCUUGAAUUUCUGAAUACCGAAUAUUGCCUUUGUUUGCAAAAAUCUUAUCUCGAGGUAUCAAGAUAUCAUAUCCAGUGAGUUAGGACACAACAUCUCGUAUCUCCGAGACUAAGCAUUUUAUUCAAAACUAGUGUUGCGAUUUUAAAAGAAUAUUCCAUUAUUUAGAUUAAAUAAGAAAAAUCGAAACCCAGUAAGUUAGGGCACGAUUUUCUCGAAUUUCUAAAUAUGAAAUAUUGCUUUUAUGAAAGAAUUGUUUUAAUGUAUCGAGGAAAAAAUAUGACGUGAUUUAUAGUGAAAUAUAAAAGCAAAUUACGGUACUAAUACGUAAAAAUUACAGAUGCGAUAGUACAAAUAAUAGUAAUAUGGGCAAGAAUAAAAAAUAAGAUACAUAAAUAAAAAAUAAAUAAAAGGCUAACUAAAAACCAUAAGUAAAUAAAUAAAUAAAACUAUUAAAAAGUUUAAAAAAUAAAUAAAUAAAAAAUAAAAUAAAAAUAAGAAAUGAAAUAGGAAAAAACAAUAAAGAAGAAAAAAAAUAUUGAAUGAAACGAAAGAAAAAGUGAUAAUAAUAAAAACAAAAAUAGUAAUAAUAGUAUGUGAAAUAAUAAUAGUAAAAAAAAUAAUAGUAAUAAUAAUAUUGAUAAUAGAUAAUAAUAAUACUAAUAAUAAUAGUAGUAAAAAAUAAAAAGAUAUAGAAAACAAUAAUAAUAGUACAAAAAUGACAAUAAAAUAAGAUGAUAAUAAAAAUAAAAAUAAAAAUAAAAAUAAAAAUAAAAAUAAAAAUAAAAAUAAAAAUAGUAAUAAUGGCAAUAAUAAUAAUACCAUAAUAAAAGAAAAAGAAAUAAUAACAUGUAAAUAAUAAUAACAAUAAUAACAAUAAUAUAUUUAUAAUAAUAAUAGUAAAAAUAAUAAAAAUAACUAAUUUUUUAGUAAAGUAACCAAAUAAUUAAAAAAAAGAUUAAAUUGAAUUCAAAACAGGAAGUUUAGCGCAAAUCCAAAAUAAAAAGAAAGGGGAGGAUUAAAUUGCAACACACGCACAAUGUGAAGGGACGAAAAAAGUAAAUAUCCCCGUCCCUCUAAGUGCAGCGUUUUGCGCGGGACCAAAAUGAAAUAAAAACAAAAUUUCUGGGAAAAAUUAAAAAUAACGAAAGAUUUAAUUAUAAAAUUAUAAAAAAGCAGAAGGACCAAAUGCACAAAUAGCCCCUUUAUCAAAAACACGCGGAUCCCCUGAGACGGGUCGGGUCAGCGCACAGGUCAUAUCAAAACGACAUCGUUUUGGGCAUUUAAGGCCAGUCCCAAAACGACGUCAUUUUGGUGGCCUAUAUAAAUCAGAUUUUUUUUAAAAACUUCAUUCUUUCUUUGUUUUUUUUAAAUUCUUCUUUCUCCUUUUUUUCUCUGCAGAGGCCCAUACUCCGGCGAGGGUUCCGACCAGUCGCCGCCGCAUCGGCCACCGCGCAUGGUGGCUUAAAAAUAAAAAAGUAUGUUUUUUUAUUUUUCUUUUAUAUUUUAUAUAUAUCUAUAUAUAUAUAUAUAUGCUGUUUUUUAAAAAAAAUAAAGAAAUAUGUACUUUUAUAUAUUCGAAGGAGGAAAAUAAAAAGAAAUAAACUAAAAAAAGAAAAUAAAGACUUUGUUUCCACUGCUUGCUGUUUCUUUUGGUAUUUGAUGUAUUUGAAUCUGUUUCUUUUGUAUUCAAAAGUGUCCAGAGAGACAAAAUACAAAAUAUUGCAAGGCUUAUAUAACCAUUUACAAAGUAUUUUUCUAUUUGAUUGUCAUUUCUGCCUUUAAUUCUUGCUGUCAUUUCUUCUCCUAUUUUGCAAGUGCAAGUGGGCGACUACACAGUGGCAGUGCUGAUGCGACAAUGGCGGUGAGGCAGGCGGGUCAGAGGGCAGUUGGCCGAAGACCUAGGGCGACUGCUAGCUAGGUUAAUUUAGGUUUUUUUUUUGUUUUGUUUUAGGGUUGGGCUAGGGUUGUUGAUUUAGGUUUGGGUUUAGUUGUAAAUGGGUUUAAUUGGUUGGGUUUUGAGGAUGUAAAAUGGGCCCAAGUAGUUUGGGCCUUCUACACUAGGAGUCUCAAAAUUUGUUGUCAGCACCUUUAAUUUUGAUUGCUUCACAGUGUUUGCACCUUCAUGGGCAAUAUCCAGAAUAUCUCAUGCCUUUUUUGAUAUAAUGUGCUUGAAUGUUUUCUUGUACUCUUGAUCAUUAACUUUACCAAAAAAAAUGACAUACAAAGCUUUAGAGUUUGCAUUGACCAACUUUUUCUCCUUAAUUGUUCAAGUGAGCUCAGAUUUAGGAGUGAUGAAGGAGCUUCCUAUCUAAUGAGGAUUGCAUGCCAAUCCUUUUCAUCCAUAGGUUUUAUAAAGACUUUCAUAGUAACUUUUCUGUAUGCAUAGUUGGAACCACCAGCAUAAGUGGAUUGAGACAAAUGAUCCUUCCAUUGCAAGCAAGAAUCAACACUAGGAACACCACUUAAUAUAAGUGUUAAGCUUCGAUACCAAAUUGAAGAAAACAAUCAAUUUUUGCAAGAAAAAAUUGAACAGUUAUAUGGAGUAGUUAUAACUGUUAGGUGUCACAAUUAAAGAAUAUAACAUAUAAACAAUUGAUUACACAAUUCAGUAAUCGCCUACAUUUGUGAGGCUUUAUCCAUAGAGGCAAUGCAUUAUAUUUAUUCUUGUUUAAAUAAUUAUUUAAGUCCUAUCACUUUUGUACCUAAAAUAUAGAUCUCUUUAUUAAAUUCUCUUCUACUUAGUUUGUAAAACCAAGUGACUCACUUGUUUUACUUACAAAAGUACAUUCACUAAAUCAAUUCCAAUUGAAUAGAUUAAAUGUUAAGCUCUUAGUACUAACCUAUGAAGUCUCAAGUAUAUAAACAUUUUUUUUACUUGCUAGGAUACAAAUUACUUGCAAUCAUAACUCCUUCCAAAGUAGCCCUUAAAUAAGAUUUAACAAUUUCCUGGUAAAGCCUAGGAUAAAUAAACAAUUUCUAAGAUAUGUCUUCAAGUCAUUCCAACUAAUCUCCAUGAAAUAGAAGAUUCGAUUUGCUUGAUUUAAAUCGAUCCAAUUUUAAAGAUUUGUUGUUUCAUAAGAUCAAUCUUCAAAUAUGGACCAAUACAUGUCCAUAAUAUCAACUAAUUCAUGGCCCAACUAUAUUGUUUCAAAAAAUUGCUGACUUCAAAUUCGACAAAUUAUGAAACAUUGAGCAAUUAUCGACAUCGUUGUAAUUGCUUUGUGUCGUUGCUCUUAUAAGUGACUUAACAAAUUUAAAACCUUUCCUUUAAAUGUAAUUUCAAUUGGAGUCUUUAGUGGGAUCUAUAGGAUACCAAACUAACAAAUUUAAUUUUUUUAGGCAUAAACUUCUAUUGCAUUUUAUUAUAGUUCAUUAAACUAGGGUGAGUAUUCGGUCGAGUUGAGUCGAAUAAAGUCAAAAAAUUUUGAAUUAGUCGAGUUGACGAAUCCUAUUUUAGCAACUAAACUCAAUUUGAAAAUUUUUCGAAUAAAAACAAAUCAAGUAAAAAAAUUUUGAGUCAAGUUGAGUCGAGUUAACGAAUCCUGUUAUUUAUACUCAAUCUUGCAUUUACAUGGACCGAUUAUUUAACUAGUAGACUAAGUACAAGAUUAUUUAACUACAUAAACAAUAUAAUGGUUUCACCUUUUAACUUAAUAGGUAAACAUUUAUCAAAACGAAAUAGUUUUGCCUUUUAAUUUAAUGGUUUUGAUUUUUAACUUUAGAAAAGAAAAACAUUUAUCAAAUCGACAUAGUUUCGCAUUUUCUUAUUCGGAAUUCUGAAGAACUCGAUUUGUGUAAAUCAUAUUCGAGUUAAACCAAAAAUUUUGAUUUUUUAUUCUAUUUUAUCCGAAUAACUCGAAUAAUUCGAACCAUUUAACUCAAAAUUUAAAAAUUUUAUCUAGUUUUUCGAAUCGAAUCGAAUUUUGCUCCCUCCUACAUUCAACCAUUGCAUUCCAAUAUUGAAAAGUUAGAUUUAUUCGUGGGCCAAGUUUAAAUAAAAUAUAACUUGUUAUUUGCCUAAACUUGAGUUUACUCAAAUCGUAACAUUACUAUUCUACCCAAAUUUAACUUAAAUAAGUUUAAAAGAUGUAAUAGGCCAAUUUUGGCCUGGGCCCAAGACCCAAAUAUAAAACCAAAAAGAAAAAACAAAAUAGUCCAUUUUACAAAACAAACAGCAAGACUAUUUUCCAUAUUGAAUGGCCCAAACCUAAACCCAAAUUACCCAAACAAUAAAAAACCCUAAAGCCCAAGUCAGCCCAAACACCUAAACAAAACAGCAAACCCUAGCACCCUAGGCCUCCCCUUUGACCAGAACCGUACGUCAGCAGGCCACCUCGCGUGCCGCCCCUCCACGCACGCCUGCGCGUCUAACACCUGCAACAAUUGAAUGCAACAACAGAAAACAACACAGAAGAAACAAGCAGAAAGAAACAAAAAAUAGAAACCAAGAGUUGUUUAAAUCGGCCAUAAAAGCCCGAACUUCUUCUUUACAAUUUUUUUACACGCAUUAGAGAAUAAAAAAGAAAACAAAAUUACAAAGAGGUGAUAUAUUUUUAUCUGUAACUGUUUUGCUUUUUUUUGUUAUUUUUUAUUUUUUGUUUGUAAAUGAAACUAAACAUAAAGUAAAAAUUUUAAAAAUCUUCCUUACCUCUUCGGGAUCUCACCGUCUUGGAUGAAGGAGGGUGUCAUCCCCGAUGAUGGACGGUUUAAAUUCGGCGAGGCAACCGAGAAACAAAAGGGUUUCCUUUGGAUUUUACCAUUUGUGGUCAAGUUUUGACGAAAACCAACCUCAAAUCAGGCUUAGGUAGAUUAAAACGGCCCUAAGGGCCUUUUUUUGGAAUCCAACCGCCGUAUACGGUGGUCACCAUCGCUGGCGGCCAUGGCGGAUGAACGAGGCCCGAUAGGCAGGAUGUGGGGGGGAGUUUUGAGUGGAUGAGAGACUUAGAGUUUUUUAUUAGAUUUUUUUUGGGUGUGAGGGCUGGA